CUGUUCUUGAAAGACAAAACAGGACAUUUCCAGCAAGAGAUCCAAUAAAUUGUUGAAUCUGCAAAGAGGAGGACUGACUGAUACUUCAAUACUAGGAAUCCACAAAACAAUGACCAGAAGUGACUUCAACUUUUUAAUUCUUGGAUGAUUUGAGAGUGAAGUGACCAUUCUACUAGAC
rnacentral:lncRNA from 11 species